rnacentral:rRNA from 1 species
CGAACGGGUGAGUAACACGUGAGCAACCUGCCCAGAAGCAGGGGAUAAGCAGCCGAAAGGUUGUCUAAUACCGUAUGUGAUCACAAGAGGCAUCUCUUGAGGAUUAAAGCGGGGUUCUUCUUACCUCGCACUUCUGGAUGGGCUCGCGGCCUAUCAGCUAGUUGGUGAGGUAACGGCUCACCAAGGCGACGACGGGUAGCUGGUCUGAGAGGAUGAUCAGUCACACUGGAACUGAGACACGGUCCAGACACCUACGGGUGGCAGCAGUCGAGAAUCAUUCACAAUGGGCGAAAGCCUGAUGGUGCGACGCCGCGUGGAGGAUGACAGCCCUAGGGUUGUAAACUCCUGUCAUGAGAGAGUAAAGACUUACCGUUAAUACCGGUGGGUCCUGAUAGUAUCUCAAGAGGAAGGGACGGCUAACUUCGUGCCAGCAGCCGCGGUAAUACGAAGGUCCCAAGCGUUGUUCGGAAUUACUGGGCGUAAAGCGUGCGUAGGCGGCAUGGUAAGUCAGAUGUGAAAUCCCGGGGCUCAACCUCGGAACUGCAUCCGAUACUGCCAAGCUAGAGUAGUGGAGGGGAGUCUGGAAUUCACGGUGUAGCAGUGAAAUGCGUAGAUAUCGUGAGGAACACUAGUGGCGAAGGCGAGACUCUGGACACUAACUGACGCUGAGGCACGAAGGCUAGGGUAGCGAAAGGGAUUAGAUACCCCUGUAGUCCUAGCAGUAAACGGUGCGCGUUUGGUGUGGGCGGGUUCGACCCCGUCCGUGCCGAAGCUAACGCGUUAAACGCGCCGCCUGGGGAGUACGGCCGCAAGGCUAAAACUCAAAGAAAUUGACGGGGACCCGCACAAGCGGUGGAGUAUGUGGCUUAAUUCGAUGCAACGCGAAGAAC